rnacentral:rRNA from 1 species
GGAAGUUUUCAGAGAUGAGAAUGUGCCUUCGGGAACCGUGAGACAGGUGCUGCAUGGCUGUCGUCAGCUCGUGUUGUGAAAUGUUGGGUUAAGUCCCGCAACGAGCGCAACCCUUAUCCUUUGUUGCCAGCGGUCCGGCCGGGAACUCAAAGGAGACUGCCAGUGAUAAACUGGAGGAAGGUGGGGAUGACGUCAAGUCAUCAUGGCCCUUACGACCAGGGCUACACACGUGCUACAAUGGCGCAUACAAAGAGAAGCGACCUCGCGAGAGCAAGCGGACCUCAUAAAGUGCGUCGUAGUCCGGAUUGGAGUCUGCAACUCGACUCCAUGAAGUCGGAAUCGCUAGUAAUCGUGGAUCAGAAUGCCACGGUGAAUACGUUCCCGGGCCUUGUACACACCGCCCGUCACACCAUGGGAGUGGGUUGCAAAAGAAGUAGGUAGCUUAACCUUCGGGAGGGCGCUUACCACUUUGUGAUUCAUGACUGGGGUGAAGUCGUAACAAGGUAACCGUAGGGGAACCUGCGGUUGGAUCACCUCCUU